rnacentral:rRNA from 1 species
UACGUAGGGGGCAAGCGUUGUCCGGAAUUACUGGGCGUAAAGAGCGCGCAGGCGGUCGUUCAAGUCGCGUGUGAAAGCCCCCGGCUCAACUGGGGAGGGUCACGCGAUACUGAUCGACUCGAAGGCAGGAGAGGGUAGUGGAAUUCCCGGUGUAGUGGUGAAAUGCGUAGAUAUCUGGAGGAACACCGGUGGCGAAGGCGGCGUUCUGGACUGCAACUGACACUGAUGAACGAAAGCCAGGGGAGCAAACGGG